rnacentral:rRNA from 1 species
UUAACCCUAAACACAAGUAGUACUAAUACAAUAUUACUCGCCAGAGAACUACAAGCGAAAAGCUUAAAACUCAAAAGACUUGGCGGUGCUUCAAAUCAAC